rnacentral:rRNA from 1 species
AACCUUUACAAUGCGCGAAAGCGUGAUAAGGGAAUCCCAAGUGUCUAUGCAUUGCAUAGGCUUUUGCUAAGAGUAAAUUUCUUGGCGAAUAAGUGGUGGGCAAGACUGGUGCCAGCCGCCGCGGUAACACCAGCGCCACGAGUGGGGAUCAUUUUUAUUGGGCCUAAAGCGUUCGUAGCCGGCCUGUUAAAUCUCUUGUGAAACUGUUAGGCUUAACUUAACAACGUGCAGGAGCGACUGACAGGCUUGGGACCGGGAGGAGUUGAAGGUAUGCUUGGGGGAGCAGUAAAAUGCUAUAAUCCCUUGUAGACCACCGGUGGCGAAGGCGUUCAACUAGAACGGCUCCGACGGUGAGGAACGAAAGCCAAGGGAGCGAUCCGG